UCGCUCUGCAGCACAGCGGCCGAGCCUGUGGAGGACUGGUGCUUCUCCCGGACAGUUUCGAUGCUGGCCCGCAGCGGUUCCAAGUCCGCCUGAGCGGCC
rnacentral:tRNA from 1 species